ACGAACGUUGGCGGCGUGGAUUAGGCAUGCAAGUCGAACGAAUCCCUUGGGGCUUGCUCUAAGGGGGAAGUGGCGAAAGGGGCAGUAAGGCGUGGGUAACCUACCCUGGGGUCCGGCAUAGCCGUCCUAACGGACGGGUAAAACCGGGCGACGUAACGCGAUCGCUUGACCGUGUUACCAAAGGUUUACCGCCCUGGGAGGGGCCCACGUGGUAUUAGCUUGUUGGCGAGGUAACGGCUCACCAAGGCCAAGAUGCCUAGCGGGUGUGAGAGCACGACCCGCGCCACUGGCACUGAGACACUGGCCAGACUCCUACGGGAGGCUGCAGUCGAGGAUCUUCGGCAAUGGGCGCAAGCCUGACCGAGCGACGCCGCGUGUGCGAUGAAGGCCUUCGGGUUGUAAAGCCCUUUCGGCGGGGACGAUGAUGACGGUACCCGCAGAAGAAGCCCCGGCUAACUUCGU
rnacentral:rRNA from 1 species